rnacentral:misc_RNA from 1 species
GAUGAAGAACGCAGCGAAAUGCGAUAAGUAAUGUGAAUUGCAGAAUUCAGUGAAUCAUCGAAUCUUUGAACGCACAUUGCGCCCGCCAGUAUUCUGGCGGGCAUGCCUGUCUGAGCGUCAUUUCAACCCUCAAGCAACUUCUGCUUGGUGUUGGGGAUCGGCCGUCAAACGCCGCCCCCGAAAUCUAUUGGCGAUCUCGCUGUAGCUUCCUAUGCGUAGUAGUAACAUCUCGCAUCUGGAGAGCGGCGCGGUCAUGCCGUAAAGCACCCAACUUCUCAGGUUGACCUCAGAUCAGGUAGGAAUACCCGCUGAACUUAAGCAUAUCAAUAAGCGGAGGA